rnacentral:rRNA from 1 species
GACGAACGCUGGCGGCGUGCUUAACACAUGCAAGUCGAACGGAAAGGCCCUGCUUUUGUGGGGUGCUCGAGUGGCGAACGGGUGAGUAACACGUGAGUAACCUGCCCUUGACUUUGGGAUAACUUCAGGAAACUGGGGCUAAUACCGGAUAGGAGCUCCUGCUGCAUGGUGGGGGUUGGAAAGUUUCGGCGGUUGGGGAUGGACUCGCGGCUUAUCAGCUUGUUGGUGGGGUAGUGGCUUACCAAGGCUUUGACGGGUAGCCGGCCUGAGAGGGUGACCGGCCACAUUGGGACUGAGAUACGGCCCAGACUCCUACGGGAGGCAACAGUGGGGAAUAUUGCACAAUGGGCGGAAGCCUGAUGCAGCAACGCCGCGUGCGGGAAGACGGCCUUCGGGUUGUAAACCGCUUUCGCCUGUGACGAAGCGUGAGUGACGGUAAUGGGUAAAGAAGCACCGGCUAACUACGUG